rnacentral:lncRNA from 1 species
GAAGCUGAGGUGAUAGACCAACAGGCAGCCACCAGACUUUCUGAACUCUGGCUUUAAGGUUCCCUUUAGGUACUGGAAGUCUGCAAUUAGGUCACCCCGCAGCCUUCUCUUCUCCAAGGUGAACAAGCCCAGCUUCCUAAGCCUGUCUUUGUAGGAGGGGUGUUCCAGCCCUCUGAUCAUCUUUGUGGCUCUCCUCUGGACCCUCUCCAAUAGCUCCCUGUCUUUCUUGUAUUGGGGGUCCCAGACCUGGACACCGUACUCCAGAUGGGGCCUCACAAAGGCAGAGUAGAGAGGGACAAUCACCUCCCUGUCCCUGCUGGCCACCCCUCUUCUGCUGGAGCCCAGGAUACCAUUUGCU